AGAUUGAACGCUGGCGGCAUGCUUUACACAUGCAAGUCGAGCGGCAGCGCGGGAGCAAUCCUGGCGGCGAGCGGCGAACGGGUGAGGAAUACAUCGGAACGUGCCCGAGAGUGGGGGAUAACGCCGCGAAAGCGGCGCUAAUACCGCAUAUUCUCCGAGGAGGAAAGUGGGGGACCUGCAAGGGCCUCACGCUCACGGAGCGGCCGAUGUCGGAUUAGCUAGUUGGUGGGGUAAAGGCUUACCAAGGCGACGAUCCGUAGCUGGUCUGAGAGGAUGAUCAGCCACACUGGGACUGAGACACGGCCCAGACUCCUACGGGAGGCAGCAGUGGGAAUUUGGACAAUGGGGGCAACCCUGAUCCAGCCAUGCCGCGUGCGGGAAGAAGGCCUUCGGUUGUAACCGCUUUUAGUCGGAAGAAAGGCGUACACCUAAGUACGGGCGUUCUUGACGGUACCGGCGGAAUAAGCACCGGCUAACGUACGUGCCGAGCAGCCGC
rnacentral:rRNA from 1 species